CCUACGGGAGGCAGCAGUGGGGAAUAUUGGGCAAUGGAGGCAACUCUGACCCAGCAACGCCGCGUGAAUGAUGAAGGUCUUCGGAUUGUAAAGUUCUUUUCUAAGGGAAGAAGAUAAUGACGGUAGCAGAGGAGGAAGCUCCGGCUAACUACGUGCCAGCAGCCGCGGUAAUACGUAGGGAGCAAGCGUUGUCCGGAUUUACUGGGUGUAAAGGGUGCGUAGGCGGCUUUGCAAGUCAGAAGUGAAAUCCAUGGGCUUAACCCAUGAACUGCUUUUGAAACUGCAGAGCUUGAGUGGAGUAGAGGUAGGCGGAAUUCCCGGUGUAGCGGUGAAAUGCGUAGAGAUCGGGAGGAACACCAGUGGCGAAGGCGGCCUACUGGGCUCUAACUGACGCUGAGGCACGAAAGCGUGGGUAGCAAACAGGAUUAGAUACCCCAGUAGUC
rnacentral:rRNA from 1 species